GGGGCCUGGCAANAGAAGUGGAUUAUCUUGAGAGCGGAGGAAACCUGAGUAAUGCCUAGGAAUCUGCCUGGUAGUGGGGGAUAACGUCCGGAAACGGACGCUAAUACCGCAUACGUCCUACGGGAGAAAGCAGGGGACCUUCGGGCCUUGGCGCUAUCAGAGGAGCCUAGGUCGGAUUAGCUAGUUGGAGAGGUAAUGGCUCACCAAGGCGACGAUCCGUAACUGGUCUGAGAGGAUGAUCAGUCACACUGGAACUGAGACACGGUCCAGACUCCUACGGGAGGCAGCAGUGGGGAAUA
rnacentral:rRNA from 1 species